UAUACAUCUGCUAUCUAUAUACGUGUUCACAUUUCGCAAUAUAUUUAGGCAAAUAAUUUGAGACCGAAAUCAGCGCACCGACUGGCAGUGCGCCAGUGCCAUCAGCGCCUUCGCCGAG
rnacentral:lncRNA from 1 species